GGAAGAAGGAACACGGCUAAUGAUGCUCGGUGGGGCAAUUCGCCCUUUUAUUUCCUGAUGUAUUCCCUGACUGAUGGAAAAUCACUCUUGGCAAACACAAAACUUACCUUGCUGCCAAAAGGUUGUUAAACUGCAAUCAAAAGCACUUAGUAGGAAUGGAUCUGUCCCUAUUAUGAGAUUUGAACUCCUGACAUCUUUAUCCAGUGGAACUUGAGUGCCCAGGACACAACCAAGAGGGGAUUCUGAGAUCGUUUUUCAACCCCUGCGACUGUGAGCCAGUUGCAGCAUGAGGAAAAGCCCUCCAACACCCCAAUGUACAGGAAAGAGAAGACAGAUGACAGUAGCUGUCCUCCUUCAAUACUGAGGAAAAGGCCACCUGUGGACCAGGCUGUGGGGGAAAAGCGGAAAGCAGAGAGAAGGGUUCGAUUUCGUGAGCCGGAAGAAGUCAUUGAGCAUGUUAUUUCCUGCUGUGACUACGUAGUGGUACAUGACAGGUCUUCACCUGGAUUGCCUAUGCUCCUGGGGCUAUCAUUUUGUGUGGUACUGAUCCUGGCUGCAAGUCUCUUCUACACCAGCAUGAAGCAAGAUACCAAAGUCCUGGAAGAGUUUCAAUCCCGACUUGUUAUCUUCUUUCUUCAGAUAAGACACAUUGCUCAUAGAUGCUGGACCUGGUUUACAAGGUAGUAGCGAUGUCCUCCAUUUGCAGGAAGGCAGCACUGAUAAUCACCACGUGUCAGAGAGAACCUCCCAGCCCCCUCAGUCCACACGUAAGGAACACAUGAGUAUCCACCUUGAAGAGCAAAAAAAGCCACCCAUUUUGUGCACUUUCUAACAUCUACUUGUUCUCUCUUUUUUAAAAUAUAUAUAUUUUUUAAUAUUUCUGAAUGAUAGUAGUAGCACUAAGAGGUCCCACCAAACUGAUGUUCCAUCACCCUUAGCAGCAAACAAGGGUAUGAGUUUAGUCCCCUGAAGAGACUAUAAACUGUUGCUAUAAGGAGCAGAGGCAGAGAGAGAAAUUCAUUGAUCUGUGCACACAGAAGCACAUUGAAUAGAAGUCUCCUGAGUCUCAGGUCAAAGAAUAAACACCAAACCAUUUUUCUCCUCAAGCCUCUUACGUGCUAUUCUGCAAAGUUUAACAUAAAGCUGAACUAUUGCACAAACACUGCUCUGCUGGCCAAAGGCUUGGCAAGCUGCUAUAUUUAUAUACUUGAAAUGAUUGCUAGUAAAAAUCUCAGCAAAUGGCUUUCUUGUUUCCCUUCAUGCAUUUUUUCCUCUGUGGGCAAAAGCUGUUCCUUAAUGUUUCACUUGACUCCCAGGUGUGAAAAAUAACGUGAGAACUCAUUUAAAUACUAAACAGUGCAUUUGCCUAACACAAUACAGGGCAGCAUUGAAUCCCAGGUUAAUUAUCAAAUCAGAACUUAAUCCUCUUGGUUUGAUUCAGUCCAUAAACCCAAGAUUUAUGGUUGUGUUUGUCUUCAGUCGAAGCUUUCACAUUUAUGCCUGCAUGUUCAAGGGUAUUAUAGACUGUUUACAAAGGUGUUGGGUCAAAGCCCUGUUAUCUCUGUUGUAGCACCAUACAGCGUACCUCUCUGGAGGGAACCAAGCAUAUGCAAUCUUAUGAGCUUCAGCUAUGCUUUGUUCUUAGAAUCACAUAAUUGCUCAGGUUGGAAAAGACCUUCAAGAUCAUCAAGUCAACCACAGACAGAAACAGCAUGAUCCAUUUUCCAGGCCCUACAUUCUUGUCGAGUAAUACUUGAUAUAUGCAUAAGGGUGACAGCAGAGCCCAUAGAAGCUGAAGAAAAGAAAGGAAACAGUGGAGAAGAGGAAAGAGAUGCCUGCAAGACCUUGGCUUUAACUCCUCUGCCACAGUAAUGCACCAGAAGGAAAAAAAAAAAAAGAUUCCUAACCAACUUUCAAAAAAAGCAAGCUUGUCCAGGCUGCCCAAAAAUUUAAACCAGACAGAGGGUAAAAGAAAACCAAUUACAUAGCCUCCACCUAGAGCAGAGUGGGCAGCAAGUUGACCAAUAACGAGUACAAAUAUAUAUAUUUGUAGACAGUAAGAAGUGACUUGAGCAGCUAUUCUCAUGCUCUGAAGGCAACAGCAAUUGCACCUGGGGAGCUGCUGGUCUGGGACACACAGGGCACUGCAGGAGCGUUUGGCUCAGUGGCUCUUUAUGCAAACCACUCAUGCACCCCAGCCCUCAGGGUAAGUCCCCUGAGGCUUCCCUGCUCUCUCUCUCUCUCUCUCUCUCUCCACUCAGCCCACUGUUGAGAUAAUAAAGAAGAGGUUUUAAACUUAUGCUCUGGUGAAUCUAUGGUGGGAAGGUUUUUUUCUGAAGAGUCAGUUCCUGCACUGCAAGUUGUGGUAUACUGCAACAUAGAAAGGCAAGGCCUGACAGGAGCUGGAUCACUUAGCGGGAGAGCAGUACCACAAAUCCUUCCUGCGUGCUUCAAUGCAGUUUCAGUAACUUGAAAAGAAGCCAAGGGGUUAAAAUUAACCAGGAACUCCUUUUAGGACUGUGAGGGAUGAUAUGAAAUCCAUAUGCAUGUUAAUAUGCAUGGGGCCUCCUUCUUCUAGCCCUGGUCAAGGUGGAAAAUAGCCACGCUGACCUUGCUGUGCCCAGGUUUAUCUGUGUGAGAGGCCCACACUGAGAAUGGCUAUCACAUCCAGGUUGUCAAGGGAAAUAAAGCAGAGGAGCAGCUAUUCCUGGCUCCGGCUAGGACAGCUUUGGGCACAGGCAAUAGCAGCACUUGAGUUGUCUGCAGCUUCCCCAUGUUUUUGGGAGGCUUCCUGGGCCGGGAUUCUUUGCUGCAAUCAGUCAGGUAUUUGGCAAAAUGCAGAGAGCCAAAAGAAUGCAUUGUAGAGUACCAGCAGACAGCCUGAAACAAAUAAAAGCUAAAAUCUGUCCCUGGGAGAGCAGUGACCUUUUACAGCUGAAGAAUCUGCAGCUGAGAAAGCCAGUGCCUCUGUGCAAGUGAAUGAAGCAGGUCAAUAGCCAGGGUGGAAAUAGGAGUUAAAGUCCUGACCUCUAGGCCUGCCUUUAGUUACCAAUGCACAGCUCCACUGUAGACUUACCUGUUUUAUUUUCUCCUUGCACUGAAGCACUUGUCCCCUCAAACCAUUCUGCUUACACACAGCACCAUUCUCAUACUCUGUUCUUUAUCCAUCACACAUCUGUGCAUACUGCUGUGAGUCAGAGAGGGUUUCUCCUUGCUCUUGCUCAACACUGCUUUCUUAGGUGUGACACCUUGGUGAGUUUGGAGGAGAUGACCUCUGAAUUUAUACAGAAUGGGUUGUGUUGGUUACUGUUUCCCUUGCAGGCUGUGCUGGGUAAUAUUUUCCUCCAGUAUGACUCCUGAGAAUUGCUUUAUAAGGAGGAAAACAAACGGAGAGGGAUGUAAUAAUGAUAAUGUAAUAAAUGGUCAAACGUUCACAUGAAUUCACUGCGGUGCCAACAUGAAGACUAACUAAAACUCAGCUAUCUCUGAGCAAUUAUUUAGUCUAUCGUGGAAAUGUCAUUUUUUUGCAUCAAGUUGCAGAGAGGAGCGACAGACUCUUGCAGCAAGUUUUGAAGAAGGCUGCAAAUAAGUAGGCUUGCUAUGAG
ensembl:lncRNA